AGAGUUUGAUCAUGGCUCAGAUUGAACGCUGGCGGUAUGCUUAACACAUGCAAGUCGAACGGUAACAGGCAAAGCUUGCUUUGCGCUGACGAGUGGCGGACGGGUGAGUAACGCGUGGGAAUCUGCCUUAUAGUGGGGGAUAGCCCGGAGAAAUCCGGAUUAAUACCGCAUACGCCCUACGGGGGAAAGCUGGGGAUCUUCGGACCUGGCGCUAUUAGAUGAGCCCGCGUUAGAUUAGUUAGUUGGUAGGGUAAUGGCCUACCAAGCCGACGAUGGGUAGCCGGCCUGAGAGGGUGAACGGCCACAAGGGGACUGAGACACGGCCCUUACUCCUACGGGAGGCAGCAGUGGGGAAUAUUGGACAAUGGACCAAAAGUCUGAUCCAGCAAUUCUGUGUGCACGAUGAAGGUCUUCGGAUUGUAAAGUGCUUUCAGGUGGGAAGAAGAAAGUGACGGUACCACCAGAAGAAGCGACGGCUAAAUACGUGCCAGCAGCCGCGGUAAUACGUAUGUCGCAAGCGUUAUCCGGAAUUAUUGGGCGUAAAGCGAGUCUAGGCGGCUUGUUAAGUCAGAUGUGAAAAUGCGGGGCUCAACUCCGUAUUGCGUUUGAAACUGGCAGGCUAGAGUACUGGAGAGGUGGGCGGAACUACAAGUGUAGAGGUGAAAUUCGUAGAUAUUUGUAGGAAUGCCGAUAGUGAAGACAGCUCACUGGACAGAUACUGACGCUAAAGCUCGAAAGCGUGGGGAGCGAACAGGAUUAGGUACCCUGGUAGUCCACGCCGUAAACGAUGUUCACUGGGUGUAGGGGGUCGAACCUCUGUGCCGAAGCUAACGCGAUAAGUGAACCGCCUGGGGAGUACGCACGCAAGUGUGAAACUCAAAGGAAUUGACGGGGACCCGCACAAGCGGUGGAGCAUGUGGUUUAAUUCGACGCAACGCGAGGAACCUUACCAGCACUUGACAUACAACGAACUCGUCAGAGAUGACUUGGUGCCGCUUCGGUGGAACGUUGAUACAGGUGGUGCAUGGCUGUCGUCAGCUCGUGUCGUGAGAUGUUGGGUUAAGUCCCGCAACGAGCGCAACCCCUAUCGUAUGUUACCAUCAUUAAGUUGGGGACUCAUGCGAGACUGCCUGCGACGAGCAGGAGGAAGGUGGGGAUGACGUCAAGUCAUCAUGCCCCUUAUGUGCUGGGCUACACACGUGCUACAAUGGUUGGUACAGAGAGCAGCAAUACGGCGACGUGGAGCAAAUCUCAGAAAGCCAAUCUUAGUUCGGAUCGCAGUCUGCAACUCGACUGCGUGAAGUUGGAAUCGCUAGUAAUCGCGAAUCAGCAAUGUUGCGGUGAAUAC
rnacentral:rRNA from 1 species